rnacentral:rRNA from 1 species
UACGGAGGGUGCGAGCGUUGUCCGGAAUCACUGGGCGUAAAGGGCGCGUAGGCGGCGCGGGAAGUCCGUGGUGAAAGCCCGAGGCUCAACUUCGGGUCGGCCAUGGAUACCUCCUGGGCUUGAGCACUGUAGAGGCAGGUGGGAAUUCCGGGUGUAGCGGUGGAAUGCGUAGAGAUCCGGAAGAACACCGGUGGCGAAGGCGGCCUGCUGGGCAGUAGCUGACGCUGAGGCGCGACAGCGUGGGGAGCAAACAGG